CUUUCCCUGAGAAGACGAUCUAGGAAUUUAUUCCUAAUUAUUACACGACAUCCUCCUGCACUUGGGAUAGCAUCAGUGCUACUCAUUUUUGAGUGAGUCAAGCAUACAUGACAUCAUCACCGAUCAUGGAUGGACACCAAUCUGUCAGCAGAGGGGCACAAUAUAUCCUGAGAUGGUUCAAUGAGUUUUACCGUGCCAUGGGAAAGCAGUUUGGUGAUGAUUUGUGCUACAACUUAGUAGUCCGGGGACAGCGGCAGCGACAGCAUUGAGAGCAGUGACUGCACCAUCUGAUGCGGACACACCAACCGUAUCCUCAUCGCAAGCGUCGAGUGUAGAGACAGCUGAGUUGGAUGCUGGCUUGGAUGAUAGUGAGAGUAGUGAUAAGGUACCUGUUGACAAUCUCACAGAUGAUAGGUUCGUGAGCUAGUGGGAGACCCUUCGACUCCUCCAUAUGAUGGCAGUAAAGUGAUUCGAUAAGCCGACUUUAUAGCAUUUUUCAAAAUUCUUAAUUUGAUUUUUGGGUAUAACAUUGAUCCCAAAAAGUACAAGACUAAUUUCGGGAUUGAGUGGGCUAGAUUUUUAUUACGGAUAGUACAGGAGGAGCCGAUUGAUCUUGCAUUGUAUUUCUUCCUCAGCAUUCAAACAGAGUCAUGUUAUUCGGGUGGAGGUAGUUUACCAUUUGUACUACUGAUAUCUAACCUCCUACUCCAAUUGAAGAUUACAUUGACUUCGAGUAAGUGGAGGUCACCACAAAUGGGGCCCGUUAACAAUAUCACAAUCAGCAAGAGCAAAGGUCACUUGUCGAAGACUCAUGCAGUACAAGAUUUGCCCCCACCUACUAAUCCAGCUUCUACUGAUGCUGCCCGUGUUGAGAGACAGACUGCUGGGGCUACUUUAGAUGAGGUACGAGCUCUAUUGGCAGAGCAUGCCAAAUUAUAAAGCAGGAGUUCAUUGAGCCCAUCAUGGAGAAACUUAAGGACCUGGAUGGAUGCUUAUAUACUUUAUAGAAGGAUUUUGAUUUACUUAACAAAUAGAUAUUGUUAGUUAUGAUUUUACUUUUUUUAUAUUGUAUAGAAUGUCUAACUCCUUUUAGGAUGUAAUUAAUGUAAAGUUGUCAUUUUUAGUGUUUGCUA